AUUCUGAAGAUUUCAUUGAGGUACACCUGCAUUAUACCGGAUACCUGCCUGCCAUAUUUAAUUAGGUCACGUGAUGCGAGAGCGGAAAGGUGAAAAAAUAUAAAACUGAGAUGAAAAUAACCCUAACCCUUAC